AGGGGGGAGCAUGGAAAGGGAGCAGGCAAGCCUGAUCCUCCAAUCCCACCUUGAAAUUAGCACUAACCCAAAAUUAACCCUCCCAGAUCUUGGUCUCAGGAAAUCCGCCGGGGCGUCCCUGCCCCAUCCGGCCGCCUCCUCCAUGGCGACUGGCUCCCAUCCGGCCGCCUCCUCCAUGGCGAGAACCGUGUCCAGAGGAGGACGAGCACGACCAUGAGUUUCCCGUCGUCGUCUCUCUCCGUGCUUAACCGGUGUGCCGACACCCCUCCCAAGCUUCGCCUGCUGCUACCCCGACACGGCAGCAUGGAUCUGACGUCUCCCGGCCGUCCCGAAGCGGCGGCCCAUGGGAUCCGAGCGAAGAAGAGGCCUCGCGAUGGCCUUGGUUCUCCUCUUAUGCAGGCUAGAUCUUGUUGGCCUCAACCAGCACCACCAUCAGGAUCCAGGCGAGCAUGCGGCUGCUCCUCCACCGUCAUGUGACGCGUGUAGUGGCCGUUCACCAGGGGAGACUCAGCUCCACGAUCACCACCACUCACUUGAUGUGCAGGUCCACACGCCAUCGACAAGUCGACCCGCGAAAGAAGCUGGCCCUACCGAUCAGGAUGACAUCGAUGAGGAGGAAGCAAUGGUGUGACGUCAUGGAUCCCACCUGUAAGUGCGUGAGUGUGUGGCUACAGUUUUCUACAAUAUUGUGAAAACCACGAUGUGUUUGGCAGUCACAGUAUUUGCCACUAUAUUUGGUGAUCCAGUUAUCAGCAUGUUCAUGUUCUACAACCCUAUCGGCCCCGGGCAAAGAAUCACACACGUUAUCAUAGGCGAGGACUGGUCGUGGCUAUAUGCAAGUGUGGUCGCCGACACCCAGGCAGGCUCAACGUAUAGCAUGCAUACACGGGCUCUUUUCUGAAUACUAUGCACCUUGAAUUCUGUGAGAUAUACACGUACAUUGCUCCCAAGUCAUAUAGAGAUGAGUAAGAGAAGAAAAAUGAAUGUGCUCCUGUUUACAUCAAGAGAAUGUACCCCAUUUAAGGACCUAACAAACACAACUAUGGAUGGUAGUGCUAAUAUCCCACAUAAUCAAACGGACGAUCCUAAAAGGAAAAGUGUUCAAUCAUGGUACGCCAAUGUCGGAUGAGAAGAAAGCAAAAUACAACGCGAAGUGUCAUAUAUCCUGACAACAAACGAGAGUUGCAGCUCUAGACUGUCUAAACCAGGACCAAUUAUCACAAACAUGUGUUUCUCCGUUAGACUGUGCUAUGGUUCAUCUCUACAACAGUUUUCCUAUCUAACAUCAUGUGUAUCUAAGUGCAGCUUCUGGUCAGGCCCCACUUGUUUCUGGCGAUCCCAGUUCCAGUCAAAUGCAAUAGGAUAUGUAAUGCUUAUUUGUCACAUUCAUUCAUUAUGUAAUAACUCUUCUCUCCUGUGAUAGUAAUGUGUCACAAAUUCAUCAAAAAAUGUGCCACUCCCU